GGUCUCGUGGUGCAAUGGUAGCAUAUCACACUUCUAAACCAUGCGCGUUUUGUUGAUGUGAGGGUUGUGGGUUCGAGUCCCGCCGGGACCU
rnacentral:tRNA from 2 species